UGAUCCGGCACAGGUGCUUGACCCCAGGGGUGGCGGGCGGGACUGCCCACAGCA
rnacentral:SRP_RNA from 16 species